UACGGAGGAUGCAAGCGUUAUCCGGAAUGACUGGGCGUAAAGCGUGUGCAGGCGGCUUUGCAAGUCAGACGUGAAAUCCCCGGGCUUAACCUGGGACUGGCGUUUGAAACUACGGAGCUGGAGUGUGGCAGAGGGAGGUAGAAUUCCACGUGUAGCGGUGAAAUGCGUAGAUAUGUGGAGGAAUACCGAUGGCGAAGGCAGCCUCCUGGGCCAACACUGACGCUCAUGCACGAAAGCGUGGGGAGCAAACAGG
rnacentral:rRNA from 1 species